UGCCACCCAGGGCCAGGCCCCACUUGCAGGUGCCAGGGCCACUACAGAGAACAGACACACCCUGAGGGGGUCCCCAGGCCACGAAGAAGCCGGAUGCUGGAGCAGCCUAGGACACAGACACCUUGGCCCUUCCCAGGCAGGCCCCUGCCACGUGAGUGCAGGGCAAGGGUCCCAGGAGGGGGAACGGGCUCCAGGCCCCACCAUGGCUGCCCUGAGUGUACGCAGUGGUCAGCCCAGUGCUGAUGUCACCUGUGUGGGGACUUCCUGGACCUUCACCUCGGAUCCGCUGCCCGGCCCCGAGGGAAAUUCCAGAGAAGCCAGGGCCGCUCCUGGCUGACUCAUUCUAGGUGCCAGUAGCACGGGAGGGGCUGGGCAAUGGAGGGCCUGGGGGCAUUUGGAGAACUGUGAGGAGUCUGACCACCUCCUCUGAGGGCCAGUUUCUGCUGCGUCCCACGGGGACUUGGGGAAAACUUGGACUCCCCAGCCCCAGCCCUGGCAUCAUUUUUUUUUUUUUUUUGAGACAGAGUUUCACUCUUGUUGCCCAGGCAUGGGUGCAGUG
rnacentral:lncRNA from 1 species